CCCUCCCCUUGGAAAUGUUGCAGGUGUGGCUGCUGUGCCACAUGUGCAUCAGUAGGUGGCAGACAGGAGAGAGGCUAUGUCUAUCCUAAGUGUUCUGACCUAUGAGCAUCUGAAUGACUAGAAAUCUAACAGU
ensembl:snoRNA small nucleolar RNA SNORA17